rnacentral:lncRNA from 1 species
AGGAAAUGGGCCCCUUCUCUCUUCCUCCAGAGUCACCAAGUGAUCCUGGGAUGAGGACCCCAAUGGAAGGCAUCUGAUAAGAUAAGUCUUAUAAAAUAUAUAGAUUUAUGAUAAUUAAGAGUGAGCUAACAGAUGAGAAUCCUAGUCAUUGGCCAAGCAGCAUUUGUACCUAAUAGAAGUCUCUGUAUAUUAUUUGGGACCCUAACUCGGUGGGCAGAACUCAGAUGGCUGGCAGAAAGCACCCACAUGGCAGUAGGGCUUGGGAGGCUUUUGCCAGAAAGAUUUAUUGUAACAUCUUUCUAUUCUUUUAUUCUCAACUUAUCCAGUGUAGACUUUUAACUUGAUGAACCUUUAUGCUGACUCGACCCUUGCACCACAUUCACUUUUUUUUCAGAUAGAGAUUUAAUCACAACCAGGAUCAGUAAAACUAAAAUAAGGUCAGAGUCCAUGCUUCUGGUGAGCAGUAGUAAUGGUAUCCCUUCACACAAAAAUGGUAGAAGAGGAGCCAGUCACUGCACUGAAUUCAGGUACUUACAUCCUUCUCCAUUCUCUUCUCCAGGCCACUGUUCCCCAGAAAAUAAAGCCCAACUUCACUGGAGUGACAUUUAAGGAGAUUGUGGAUGCUUGUGCUUAGUCGGAGGUCUCCUUCCCCCGCCACUCAAGACUACAGCUCAUGGAAUAGUGACAUUCAUGCUUAGGACUUAUCGAGGACACCUUCUGCUGGCAUCCUCUUCCCAGGAUCACAUGGAGGCUCUGUAGAGAAGAGAGCAAGAGGAAGCACCCUGCUUAUAUUCUGAGUCUGCCUGCUAUGUCACUUCCUGCCUGGAUCACAAGACUUCUUACUACAUUUCGAAGAAUUCUCCUCGACUCCUAGUCCCACCUAUCCUGCUUCCUCAUUGGCCGAACAGUGCUUUAUCCAACAGCCAAUAAGAUAAGCAUACACAGAAGGACACUCUCCAUCACUCAGCCAAUGAUGCUUGUUCACAGGUUGCAUGAAUGGAUUUCAAGUGUGAGAACUGACUCAGGCUCUGGGCUUUCAGCCCCUAGGACUAAACAGGAAGCCAUGGAAAUUGCUGUAGGCUUUUCAGAACAGUGUUUCCUCUGAUGGAAAUUAUUUUAAAUAUUAAGAAAUGUGCUUUCCAUAGGAAUGGGAGCCCAUCCCACAUGGAGGGAUACUCCCUGAGCCUAGACACAUGGGG